AAUCAAGCGUUUAAGGGCGUUUGGCGGAUGCCUUGGCACUGAAAGACGAUGAAGGACGUGAUAUACUGCGAAAAGUUUCGGGGAGCUGUAUGUAAGUUUUGAUCCGAAAAUAUCCGAAUGGGGAAACCUAACUCUUUAUGAGUUACUUCACACCGAAUUCAUAGGUGUGAAGAGAUAACCUGGAGAACUGAAACAUCUAAGUAACCAGAGGAAAAGAAAUCAAUUGAGACUCCGUUAGUAGUGGCGAGCGAAAGCGGACUAGGCCAGUAAUGUUAAUUAGAUAAUUUGAAUAGUUUGGAAAUGCUAACCAAAGAGGGUGAUAGUCCCGUAAAAGUAAUGCUAAUUAAUAUUCUCGAGUAGAGCGAGACACGUGAAAUCUUGUUUGAAUUUGGGGGGACCACCCUCUAAGCCUAAGUACUCUUCAGUGACCGAUAGUGAACAAGUACCGUGAGGGAAAGGUGAAAAGAACCCCUACUAGGGGAGUGAAAUAGAACCUGAAACCGAAUGCCUACAAACAGUCGAAGCUCUUUUUAGAGUGACGGCGUACCUUUUGUAUAAUGGGUCAGUGACUUAAUUUGUGCAGCAAGCUUAAGCCGAUAGGUGUAGGCGUAGCGAAAGCGAGUCUUAAUAGGGCGUUUAGUUGUAUGAAUUAGACCCGAAAACGAAUGAGCUUACCAUGAACAGGUUGAAGGCAGGGUAACACCUGCUGGAGGACCGAACCAGUUGACGUUGAAAAGUCUUUGGAUGAUUUGUGGUAAGGGGUGAAAGGCCAAUCAAAUUCGUAGAUAGCUGGUUUUCCGCGAAAACUAUUUAGGUAGUGCGUUGAAUAAACAUACUUUUGGAGGUAGAGCACUAAAUGGGCUAGGGGGGAGAGAUCCCUACCAAACCUAAUAAAACUCCGAAUGCCAAAAGUAAUUCUUCAACAGACAGACUGUGGGUGCUAAGGUCCAUGGUCGAGAGGGAAAAAGCCCAGAUCACCAGAUAAGGUCCCUAAGUUAUGGUUAAGUGUGAAAGGAUGUGGAGAUUCCUUAACAGCCGGGAGGUUGGCUUAGAAGCAGCCAUCCUUUAAAGAUAGCGUAACAGCUCACCGGUCUAAUAGAGUUUCUGCGCCGAAGAUGUAACGGGGCUAAAAUCACAUACCGAAUCUGUGGGUUUAUAAAACUUUCGAGUUUUAUAAGCGGUAGCGGAACGUUCUGUAAGCCUGUAAAGGGAUACCCGUGAGGGAUCCUGGAGGUAUCAGAAGUGCGAAUGCUGACAUGAGUAACGAUAAACGAAGUGAAAAACUUCGUCGCCGAAAAUCCAAGGGUUUCUGCGCAAGGUUAAUCCGCGCAGAGUUAGUCGGCACCUAAGGCGAGGGCGAAAGCCGUAGUCGAUGGAAAUAAGGUUAAUAUUCCUUAACCAGAUGGAAGUGACGGAUUUUGUAAGUUGUGAGUUCUUAAUGGAUUGAACUUGCUGCGAAAAAGUCCCAGGAAAUAGCUCCAUCAUUAGACCGUACCCUAAACCGACACAGGUGGAUUAAUAGAGUAUAUUUAGGCGCUUGAGAGAAUGAUGUUGAAGGAACUCGGCAAAAUGCUUCUGUAACUUCGGAAUAAAGAAGACCUUUUAUUGGGCAACCAUUAGAAGGUGGCACAAGCCAGGGAGAAGCGACUGUUUAUCAAAAACACAGGGCUCUGCUAACACGUAAGUGGAUGUAUAGGGUCUGACGCCUGCCCGGUGCUGGAAGGUUAAUGCGAUGGGUGCAAGCUCAUUUCUGAAGCCCCAGUAAACGGCGGCCGUAACUAUAACGGUCCUAAGGUAGCGAAAUUCCUUGUCGGGUAAGUUCCGACCUGCAUGAAUGGCGUAACGAUUUCUCCGCUGUCUCCAACAUCAACUCAGUGAAAUUGAAUUCUCCGUGAAGAUGCGGAGUUC
rnacentral:rRNA from 1 species